rnacentral:rRNA from 10 species
UUAAGUUAUUAAGGGCGCACGGUGGAUGCCUUGGCACUAGAAGCCGAUGAAGGACGUUACUAACGACGAUAUGCUUUGGGGAGCUGUAAGUAAGCUUUGAUCCAGAGAUUUCCGAAUGGGGAAACCCAGCAUGAGUUAUGUCAUGUUAUCGAUAUGUGAAUACAUAGCAUAUCAGAAGGCACACCCGGAGAACUGAAACAUCUUAGUACCCGGAGGAAGAGAAAGAAAAUUCGAUUCCCUUAGUAGCGGCGAGCGAAACGGGAAGAGCCCAAACCAACAAGCUUGCUUGUUGGGGUUGUAGGACACUCUAUACGGAGUUACAAAGGACGACAUUAGACGAAUCAUCUGGAAAGAUGAAUCAAAGAAGGUAAUAAUCCUGUAGUCGAAAAUGUUGUCUCUCUUGAGUGGAUCCUGAGUACGACGGAGCACGUGAAAUUCCGUCGGAAUCUGGGAGGACCAUCUCCUAAGGCUAAAUACUCUCUAGUGACCGAUAGUGAACCAGUACCGUGAGGGAAAGGUGAAAAGCACCCCGGAAGGGGAGUGAAAUAGAACCUGAAACCGUGUGCUUACAAGUAGUCAGAGCCCGUUAAUGGGUGAUGGCGUGCCUUUUGUAGAAUGAACCGGCGAGUUACGAUUUGAUGCAAGGUUAAGCAGUAAAUGUGGAGCCGUAGCGAAAGCGAGUCUGAAUAGGGCGUUUAGUAUUUGGUCGUAGACCCGAAACCAGGUGAUCUACCCUUGGUCAGGUUGAAGUUCAGGUAACACUGAAUGGAGGACCGAACCGACUUACGUUGAAAAGUGAGCGGAUGAACUGAGGGUAGCGGAGAAAUUCCAAUCGAACCUGGAGAUAGCUGGUUCUCUCCGAAAUAGCUUUAGGGCUAGCCUCAAGUGAUGAUUAUUGGAGGUAGAGCACUGUUUGGACGAGGGGCCCCUCUCGGGUUACCGAAUUCAGACAAACUCCGAAUGCCAAUUAAUUUAACUUGGGAGUCAGAACAUGGGUGAUAAGGUCCGUGUUCGAAAGGGAAACAGCCCAGACCACCAGCUAAGGUCCCAAAAUAUAUGUUAAGUGGAAAAGGAUGUGGCGUUGCCCAGACAACUAGGAUGUUGGCUUAGAAGCAGCCAUCAUUUAAAGAGUGCGUAAUAGCUCACUAGUCGAGUGACACUGCGCCGAAAAUGUACCGGGGCUAAACAUAUUACCGAAGCUGUGGAUUGUCCUUUGGACAAUGGUAGGAGAGCGUUCUAAGGGCGUUGAAGCAUGAUCGUAAGGACAUGUGGAGCGCUUAGAAGUGAGAAUGCCGGUGUGAGUAGCGAAAGACGGGUGAGAAUCCCGUCCACCGAUUGACUAAGGUUUCCAGAGGAAGGCUCGUCCGCUCUGGGUUAGUCGGGUCCUAAGCUGAGGCCGACAGGCGUAGGCGAUGGAUAACAGGUUGAUAUUCCUGUACCACCUAUAAUCGUUUUAAUCGAUGGGGGGACGCAGUAGGAUAGGCGAAGCGUGCGAUUGGAUUGCACGUCUAAGCAGUAAGGCUGAGUAUUAGGCAAAUCCGGUACUCAUUAAGGCUGAGCUGUGAUGGGGAGAAGACAUUGUGUCUUCGAGUCGUUGAUUUCACACUGCCGAGAAAAGCCUCUAGAUAGAAAAUAGGUGCCCGUACCGCAAACCGACACAGGUAGUCAAGAUGAGAAUUCUAAGGUGAGCGAGCGAACUCUCGUUAAGGAACUCGGCAAAAUGACCCCGUAACUUCGGGAGAAGGGGUGCUCUUUAGGGUUAACGCCCAGAAGAGCCGCAGUGAAUAGGCCCAAGCGACUGUUUAUCAAAAACACAGGUCUCUGCUAAACCGUAAGGUGAUGUAUAGGGGCUGACGCCUGCCCGGUGCUGGAAGGUUAAGAGGAGUGGUUAGCUUCUGCGAAGCUACGAAUCGAAGCCCCAGUAAACGGCGGCCGUAACUAUAACGGUCCUAAGGUAGCGAAAUUCCUUGUCGGGUAAGUUCCGACCCGCACGAAAGGCGUAACGAUUUGGGCACUGUCUCAACGAGAGACUCGGUGAAAUCAUAGUACCUGUGAAGAUGCAGGUUACCCGCGACAGGACGGAAAGACCCCGUGGAGCUUUACUGUAGCCUGAUAUUGAAAUUCGGCACAGCUUGUACAGGAUAGGUAGGAGCCUUUGAAACGUGAGCGCUAGCUUACGUGGAGGCGCUGGUGGGAUACUACCCUAGCUGUGUUGGCUUUCUAACCCGCACCACUUAUCGUGGUGGGAGACAGUGUCAGGCGGGCAGUUUGACUGGGGCGGUCGCCUCCUAAAAGGUAACGGAGGCGCUCAAAGGUUCCCUCAGAAUGGUUGGAAAUCAUUCAUAGAGUGUAAAGGCAUAAGGGAGCUUGACUGCGAGACCUACAAGUCGAGCAGGGUCGAAAGACGGACUUAGUGAUCCGGUGGUUCCGUAUGGAAGGGCCAUCGCUCAACGGAUAAAAGCUACCCCGGGGAUAACAGGCUUAUCUCCCCCAAGAGUUCACAUCGACGGGGAGGUUUGGCACCUCGAUGUCGGCUCAUCGCAUCCUGGGGCUGUAGUCGGUCCCAAGGGUUGGGCUGUUCGCCCAUUAAAGCGGUACGCGAGCUGGGUUCAGAACGUCGUGAGACAGUUCGGUCCCUAUCCGUCGUGGGCGUAGGAAAUUUGAGAGGAGCUGUCCUUAGUACGAGAGGACCGGGAUGGACAUACCUCUGGUGUACCAGUUGUCGUGCCAACGGCAUAGCUGGGUAGCUAUGUGUGGACGGGAUAAGUGCUGAAAGCAUCUAAGCAUGAAGCCCCCCUCAAGAUGAGAUUUCCCAACUUCGGUUAUAAGAUCCCUCAAAGAUGAUGAGGUUAAUAGGUUCGAGGUGGAAGCAUGGUGACAUGUGGAGCUGACGAAUACUAAUCGAUCGAAGACUUAAUCAA